rnacentral:rRNA from 1 species
GUAGGUGGCAAGCGUUGUCCGGAAUUAUUGGGCGUAAAGCGCGCGCAGGCGGUUCUUUAAGUCUGAUGUGAAAGCCCACGGCUCAACCGUGGAGGGUCAUUGGAAACUGGAGAACUUGAGUACAGAAGAGGAAAGCGGAAUUCCACGUGUAGCGGUGAAAUGCGUAGAGAUGUGGAGGAACACCAGUGGCGAAGGCGGCUUUCUGUCUGUAACUGACGCUGAGGCGCGAAAGCGUGGGGAGCAAACAGGAUUAGAUACCCUGGUAGUCCACGCCGUAAACGAUGAGUGCUAAGUGUUAGGGGGGUUUCCGCCCCCCUUAGUGCUGCAGCUAACGCAUUAAGCACUCCGCCUGGGAGUACGGCCGCAAGGCUG